rnacentral:antisense_RNA from 1 species
UGUGGGAGCGGGCUUGCCCGCGAUAGCGAUUUGUCAGUCGACAUCAAUGUUGGCUGACCCGCCCUCAUCGCGGGCAAGCCCGCUCCCACA